UACGUAGGGUGCUAGCGUUAUCCGGAAUCACUGGGCGUAAAGCGUGCGUAGGCGGCUUGUUAAGUGAGAUGUGAAACCGUGUGACUCAACCAUAUCGUUGCAUUUCAUACUGGCAGGCUAGAGGACGGCAGAGGCAAGUGGAAUUGGUAGUGUAGCAGUGAAAUGCGUAGAUAUUCGGAAGAACACCAGUGGCGAAGGCGGCUCACUGGCCCGUUACCGACGCUCAGGCGCGACAGCGUGGGGAGCAAACAGG
rnacentral:rRNA from 1 species